rnacentral:rRNA from 1 species
AGCCCCCCUCAAGAUGAGAUUUCCCAAUUAGUAAGACCCCUUAUAGACGAUGAGGUAGAUAGGUCCGGGGUGGAAGUGCCGCAAGGCAUGGAGCUGACGGAUACUAAUCGGUCGAGGGCUUAUCCAAU